rnacentral:rRNA from 1 species
AUUGAACGCUGGCGGCAGGCCUAACACAUGCAAGUCGAACGGUAACAGGGAUCAGCUUGCUGAUUCGCUGACGAGUGGCGGACGGGUGAGUAAUGUCUGGGAAACUGCCUGAUGGAGGGGGAUAACUACUGGAAACGGUAGCUAAUACCGCAUAACGUCGCAAGACCAAAGAGGGGGACCUUCGGGCCUCUUGUCAUCGGAUGUGCCCAGAUGGGAUUAGCUAGUAGGUGGGGUAACGGCUCACCUAGGCGACGAUCCCUAGCUGGUCUGAGAGGAUGACCAGCCACACUGGAACUGAGACACGGUCCAGACUCCUACGGGAGGCAGCAGUGGGGAAUAUUGCACAAUGGGCGCAAGCCUGAUGCAGCCAUGCCGCGUGUAUGAAGAAGGCCUUCGGGUUGUAAAGUACUUUCAGCGGGGAGGAAGGGAGUAAAGUUAAUACCUUUGCUCAUUGACGUUACCCGCAGAAGAAGCACCGGCUAACUCCGUG